rnacentral:rRNA from 1 species
GGGGUUUCCGCCCCUUAGUGCUGCAGCUAACGCAUUAAGCACUCCGCCUGGGGAGUACGACCGCAAGGUUGAAACUCAAAGGAAUUGACGGGGACCCGCACACGCGGUGGAGCAUGUGGUUUAAUUCGAAGCAACGCGAAGAACCUUACCAAAUCUUGACAUCCUCUGACCCCUCUAGAGAUAGAGUUUUCCCCUUCGGGGGACAGAGUGACAGGUGGUGCAUG